GUUCCCUCACCUCAGAGAGUCUGCCCUGCUCCCUCUGGGCUUCUCCUUCCUGCACCACAGCUUGGAAACCUCAACACAAGCGGAGCCUGGAAGCAGAUUCCAUGUGAAGAUGAUAGAAGUUGCACCUGGUUUACAGAGGAACACAGCUACACCAUAUUUUCUAGGCUUUCUUACAGAGGGUGUGGCCAUCUGACUGAAUUAUA